rnacentral:rRNA from 1 species
AUUGAACGCUGGCGGCAGGCCUAACACAUGCAAGUCGAACGGUAACAGGAAACAGCUUGCUGUUUCGCUGACGAGUGGCGGACGGGUGAGUAAUGUCUGGGAAACUGCCUGAUGGAGGGGGAUAACUACUGGAAACGGUAGCUAAUACCGCAUAACGUCGCAAGCCCAAAGAGGGGGACCUUCGGGCCUCUUGCCAUCGGAUUUGCCCAGAUGGGGUUAGCUAGUAGGUGGGGGAACGGCUCACCUAGGCGACGAUCCCUAGCUGGUCUGAGAGGAGGACCAGCCACACGGGAACUGAGACACGGUCCAGCCUCCUACGGGAGGCAGCAGUGGGGAAUAUUGCACAAUGGGCGCAAGCCUGAUGCAGCCAUGCCGCGUGUAUGAAGAAGGCCUUCGGGUUGUAAAGUACUUUCAGCGGGGAGGAAGGGAGUAAAGUUAAUACCUUUACUCAUUGACGUUACCCGCAGAAGAAGCACCGGCUAACUCCGUG